GGCUCAGGAUGAACGCUAGCGACAGGCCUAACACAUGCAAGUCGAGGGGCAGCACAAGGAGCAAUCUGAGGUGGCGACCGGCGCACGGGUGAGUAACACGUAUGCAACCUGCCUGUAAGAGGGGAAUAACCCGUUGAAAGACGGACUAAUACCGCAUAAUACUAAAUUACUGCAUGGUAAUUUAUUUAAACAUUUAUGGCUUACAGAUGGGCAUGCGCAUGAUUAGCUAGUUGGAGAGGUAACGGCCCCCCAAGGCAACGAUCAUUAGGGGUUCUGAGAGGAAGGUCCCCCACACUGGUACUGAGACACGGACCAGACUCCUACGGGAGGCAGCAGUGAGGAAUAUUGGUCAAUGGACGAGAGUCUGAACCAGCCAAGUCGCGUGCAGGAAGAAUGUUCCCUAUGGAUUGUAAACUGCUUUUGCAGGGGAAUAAAGUGCAUCACGUGUGAUGUUUUGUAUGUACUCUGCGAAUAAGGAUCGGCUAACUCCGUGCCAGCCGCGGC
rnacentral:rRNA from 1 species